GCCCUUUAAGACUUUCAUUUUCAGGUGCUGAAUUAAAUAUGUGAGAUUAGCAUGAGUUUUAAAAGCUUUAUGAACAGAAAGAAAGACAAUGUCACCUCUACAUACUCAUACCCAAAAUAACUGAAUCCUUAUUUCCAUUUGGGACUGCCGCAUAAAUGGAACCCUACAGAAGAGAGAUUUUUCUUCUGGAGUUUCUCACAUCACUGAGGCAUCACCCAAAAAGCAGUGUG
rnacentral:lncRNA from 1 species